rnacentral:rRNA from 1 species
AUUGAACGCUGACGGCAGGCUUAACACAUGCAAGUCGAGCGGAGCGAGGGUGCUUGCACUAUCACUUAGCGGCGGACGGGUGAGUAAUGCUUAGGAAUCUGCCUAUUAGUGGGGGACAACAUCUCGAAAGGGAUGCUAAUACCGCAUACGUCCUACGGGAGAAAGCAGGGGAUCACUUGUGACCUUGCGCUAAUAGAUGAGCCUAAGUCGGAUUAGCUAGUUGGUGGGGUAAAGGCCUACCAAGGCGACGAUCUGUAGCGGGUCUGAGAGGAUGAUCCGCCACACUGGGACUGAGACACGGCCCAGACUCCUACGGGAGGCAGCAGUGGGGAAUAUUGGACAAUGGGGGGAACCCUGAUCCAGCCAUGCCGCGUGUGUGAAGAAGGCCUUAUGGUUGUAAAGCACUUUAAGCGAGGAGGAGGCUCUUUUGGUUAAUACCCAAGAUGAGUGGACGUUACUCGCAGAAUAAGCACCGGCUAACUCUGUGCCAGCCGCCGCCGUAAAAC